UAAUCUGGUUGCCGUGCUCCUUGUGAUUCAUUCGUUCUACACUUCCUUCUUCUUCUGCCCUUCGUCUGGGCUCAACCGAAAUUAUCUCGCCGAUCAGACAAAGAAAAUGGAAGAAUCGAUCCGGAUACGAAGAGAAAUGGGGCCUUUGGCUCUCAUUAAUGCGGCGAGGAUGCUCAGAAUGAAGUUAUCCAGAGAAGAGAAAAAGGGGUGUAUUCAGUUGUCACAACUGGUGAUGCAUAAGUUGGCCAGCGAGAUUCUGCAGAUGCUGCAAGGUGUCGACAAUACUAACGUGACGAAAC